GUCCAGGGGCGGGAAUCGAACCCACAACCUUCUGGGCAGGUGCCAUGUCCACUAGGCUACCCUGGA